UACGUAGGGCGCAAGCGUUAUCCGGAAUUAUUGGGCGUAAAGAGCUCGUAGGCGGUUUGUCGCGUCUGCCGUGAAAGUCCGGGGCUCAACUCCGGAUCUGCGGUGGGUACGGGCAGACUAGAGUGAUGUAGGGGAGACUGGAAUUCCUGGUGUAGCGGUGAAAUGCGCAGAUAUCAGGAGGAACACCGAUGGCGAAGGCAGGUCUCUGGGCAUUAACUGACGCUGAGGCGCGAAAGCCAGGGGAGCGAACGGG
rnacentral:rRNA from 1 species